CAGUAUUUAGUUUAAUUAAAAUAUAAUAUUUGGGUUAUUAAGAUGUUUUACUGA
rnacentral:tRNA from 1 species